UGGUGUGGCAGGGAGGGAUUAAGGGAAAAGGAGGAAUAUAUAUCCUCCCAGGCCACUCCUAUGGGAUCCCCUCUUCCCACUGGGCUUCACCUCCCAACAUCACACCCAGCUAUAACCCAUCAGCGGGCCAGUCCAGUGAUGGGUACCACACACCCAUGAUCCAUCACCUCCCAAAGGUCCCACCUAUGAGCACGUGAGGCUUCAGGGAGACUGUAACACUCUAUGAGCUGGAGCCAAGCUCUCAUAUUCCAGUGUCACCAUACCAGAAGGUGGGACUGGAACUGCCAGCUCACCUGGCCUUUCAAAAGGUUUGGGGUUUUGUUUGCAAAACAGAAAUCGGAACAUUUACAGAUGUUAAAUCAUUCAAUUUUUAAAUGCAGCAAGUAAGGCAAUUUAAAACUCCCUCACUCCAGCACAAACCCCAGACUAACUACAAAGGCCACACUCAAAGGCAAAGGCAUCUCCAGCAGCCCAGUCUGGACAAGUUCUUCUCAUUGUGAGGUCAGAAGCUCCAUGUGUGUGUGCUUGGGAGGGGCAAUUUUUGUUUGCUCACUCCUGUAACCCACUUCCAGGCACACAGUUGGAACACAUGAAGUGUCAGUUGCAUUAAUGAAUCCUCGAAGCAAUCCUGUAAGGCCAGGGGUCUCACACCCAUUUGGAAGAUGAGGAGCUUGGGGCUUGCUUCGGCGAAGUGAACUCCCCACCACCACACAGCUCUCCAGCAAGAGCGGCAGCCUUCAAACCCAGGACCACUCAGAGGAGGGGCUGCUGUGAAGAACAAAUACAACUGUAGCUGUGAAAGUGCUUUGCAUAAGGAGAGGUUUGGGGAAUCGCUACCAAUCAGAGGAACAGCACAAGUAGAACUUGCAGAUGGGAACUGCAGUUAAAGAAGAUGAGCACCAGCUUACUGGGUAUCUCACUGAAGCCAGAGGGCUCUGUGUUCUCUCUGGAGUGGUGUUGUUUUUAUACAGCUGUGCAUCUGAAGAAAGCAGGUUUGGGUGCAGCAGACAGCAGGGAUGAGGGGGCUUGGUGCAGGACAUCUGCUCAGAAAGCCUCCCUAUGCCUGAGCUGAAGGACCAGGGCUGGACUGGGGUCUUCUCACCAUCUGGCCUCUGAGACCUGGACCCCGACAUCACCUGGAGAGCUCCUGCCUGCACUGGAGGAGGGAAGGCACGUUCUGCGUGGACACAGGGGAUCGAACUCGAAACCCUGCGCUUGCUAGGCAGGUGGUGGAACCACUGAGCUAAAUCCCCGGCCCAAUAUCUUUAGUCGCCAUUAAAAUGCAAGGAUGAUCAAAGGAGCGAUAAAUGAGUGUCUAAUGAGUGGUAAGUCAUGUACACUUAUUAUAAAGCAAUAUUUAAUUUUUUGCUAGAGCGCUGUACUUUGAUAUCCUGAGGAGAAGACAGGAGGGAAUAGACAGUAAAGAAUUCAUCGAGUUUCCAGAGGAUAUGAAGUGUGCCGAAGGACUUUAAUAUCCAAUAUCACUAUCAGCAAGCAGAUUUGGUCUCUAUGGUAAAAGCCCCAGGCUUAAGGCAGGAGGCCGGAUUCCGGCAGAUUCCACAGCUGUCUUACAAACCAGCUGUGAUCCUGGGCAAAUUACUUAACCUCUCUGACCACUUCCUCAUCUGAAAAGUGAGAGUGAUGCCACACCACCCCAGGGGUGCUGCGAGAAUCACGUACACUCAACUGUGUAGAAGAUCUGCCCCUCCUUAAAUAUGGGCAUCCUUGGAUCUGUGGCUGCACACUCUGGGAGCUGUAGCUACUGAGUUACCUCUGUGGAUGAGUCUAUUGAGCUGAGUCUAUUCACAGACCCACAGAUGAGCCCAGCCAGGGCUGCUCAAACCCAGGUCCACCAGCAGACACAUGAACUUCAAUAAUAAAUAAUUGUUGUUUUAAGCCACCAAGUGUUAGGGUGGUUUGGUACCUGGUAAAUGGUUAAGACUAUAAAGCAAAUUUAGGAUUCCUGACUUUUUUAAUAGUUGCCAUGUUCAAUAGGAAUAGUUCUAAGAUACAUCUUAGCUUAUAUUUUAAGCAAAAUGAAGUGAACAUACCAGUAGACCCUGGACCAUUCACGAUCAUCCUAAUGAAAACCACUCAUGCUGUAAGACAGUGAUACCUUCAAUGGCUAUAUACAGAUAAUUCCUAUCUCCUAUUCUUUAUGAAAUCUCAGAAUCAUGCCCUAGCUCUUAAAAUCAUUUUUCUUACAAUCUUAUCAGCCGCCAUUUGUCACUGUGAUCAAGGAGCUCAUCUAAAGCAGCAACUCCUCCCUCCCCAAUCCGUUGUGCUAUACCUAGUCCUGCAUACUUCAAGAAACCUGCUCUUGAAGCCUGUUAGAAUGAUGUUCAUCGUGAGUGUUAAUAGGUCAGAGUAAGGGUCUGAGAUAGUUUUCUGAGUGUUGGAAGUAUGCGCCUCGGUGCUGGCAUUCCUAUCCACAAUUCUGGCCUCUGUAAUACGUUCUGCUCCCUUCCUGGCUCCCCUCUGGGACCCAGCAGUGGAAGUUGCCAGGUAAUGCACAUUGAUUCAGAGAGGAGGGCUUGUGUCUGCCACGGCUGGAAUGUAAUCUUCCCUGAAGAGAAUGAAGGGGUGGCUCGCCUUGAAGGGGAGUAUAACCUACAGGCCUGUGGAGCUCUUCUUCUAUCACAGCCACUCCUGCAGCACGCAGCACAUGUGCGCCUACAGGCCAUGGAUUCCUCCAGCACAGAAGCCGAGCCCUCCUCAGUCUGUGUCCCCCGAAGCACUUAACACAGUGCCAGGCAUCCAGCAGGUGUGCACUAAGCUACAGUGGGUAGAGUGAAAAGAUUUUCCUCGUGGCCUUAUUCCAGUGUAUACACAACUUGUCUUUUUUAGGAGAAUAAGAAUCUAUAAGCUUCUGAAUAUAAACUGUUUCAAACCAAACUGCUAGAAAACAUUUUUAAAGGGUUAAAUUCAUUCUGUAUGAAGGGACAGCUCCAUCUCAAGGCCCAACUUUAUUUCUGAACUGUGUUCUCAUGAAGCCAUGGGGAUUAAGUUAAAGGGACAAAGCCAAGUGACUCUCCAGGAGAAAACAGGUAUUUUUGCUAAACUGAGUUAAUUUAGUGAUUCCCCCUUGGUCUACCCCAUUUUUUUCCUACCCCAAUUUUUGACCAAACGUCUGAAGAUACAUUCCCAACCAGAAGAUCUAGACUUAGCAAUCCAUCAAGAAGUACCUGUGGAUAUAUGGAUAUGUGGGAUAUGUGGGUUGCUUAUGGUACAUCCCCACCUCCCCUUUGCUCUUGACCCUGUCCCCAUAGGCUGAAUCCUCAUGGCCCACAACAAGGGGCCCCAGGCCUCUGGCUUCAAGUUGGGUUUGGCCAACAGGAGGCACUACCAACAGAUUGUUAGGAUAGGAGGAGAGGGAGGUCAGGGUAUUUCUAAGGCUCCAGAUCUCCCAGGGAUCCAUCUCCCUCCUUCUUCCUCCUGCCUUUUCAAGCACGGGACGGGAUGGUAAAGGCUUCCUGAGGUUGUUAAUCUCUAGGUGCCUCACCUUUGCUUGCUUGUUGCCUGAACCCCACCCACAUCCCUGGAAAUGCUCCCUUCAUUCCAGUCCUUUCAUCUGAACCAUCUGAGUGGUGUCUUUUCACUCUGGCAUUCUGAUGAGCGCAAGCUGAAAAGCCCAUUACCUAGGAGAUGUCUACACUGUGCCAGGGCUCUCUCCAGGGAGAAUUCAAAGAAAAUCAGAGAUUCUUUCCUGUCUCGCUUUUAGAAUUCCUCAGGCACUUUGGCUCUAUCUAAAUGAAAUAAUACAAAAUAUUGGUGAACUCCAAUCUAUAGAUGAGAGAAAAAAUGUUUUGUGUGUUGUGAAUUGAACCCAGGGAUGUUCUACUACUGAGAUCCUCCUCUAACCUUUUUUGAAAGGAAUUUUGAAUUUUGAGACAGGGUCUCACUAAGUUGCCCAGGCUGGCUUCAAAUUUGGGAUUCUCCUGCACAAGCCUCCUGCAUAGCUGGCAUUACAGGUAUGUGCCACCACACCUGGCUGAGAAAAGUUUUUAUUUGUUCAUUCACCAGAUAAUUAAGGAACACCUAUUAUGUGCCAGGCACUGUUAUGAUCCUGGGAAACAGGGAAUGUACAAGAUAGACACAGUCCCUGCCCAAAUGGUGCUUAGAGUCCAUUACCCUCUGUCUCUUGGAAAUCAGAGAGCCCACCAGAGGCAGGGUUGGACCCAGAAGACUAAGUUUCCUUAAUUCCCAACCCUGAAGUCCUCAGCAGAUUCACAAAGGACUUUAUGACCCCAACAAGAUGAAGAACCUUUAAAUCCGAUCAAAUUAACUAUCAAUCUUCCCAUCUGAAUCAAAGAAUAAUGACCCACCCAGUCCCAAAAGCACUCUCAACUUGGAUCUGUGAGGGCCAUGGUGACACACGCUCAGGUGCCACUGCCAUCCGCCCUUCCUGUCUCCCCUCACAUCUGAUAUUCCCUCAGAGCCUCCCUCCUUCUGCUGUCUCUCCCCACACUUUUAUAAUUAGCCGCACACUGUUCUGUCGGUUACUCCCUCAGGGCCCAUGGCCAUUGGUAGCAUCACUUGCCAAUGAGCUGUUUGUAUGAAUGGACAGCAUUAGAGGCCGGGUUCAGAGACAGGACCUUUCGGCUGGCAUUUGCGGCUUCCCUGUGCUUCACAGACAAUGACAGUGAAACUUGUGAGAUUCAUGCUUGGAGGCAUGAGGGGUACGGAGAGCAGGGGCAGCUGAGGUGAACGGGGGUGGGGGGGGGAGGCAGUGAGGGCACAGGCAGCAAGGCCUGGUCUGCUUCCUCCCUCAUUCCCUCUGAAGACAUCUGAGUUUCCUCAGAAAGGUUUAAAGAAGCCAUGACAGUAAUCCAGUACUUCCCCUGCUCCAGGUCAGGCAGGACACGCGUAAUGGCCUGAUGCCCUCAGAAGAGGUUGUCGGACUGGCCGACUCAGCCCCUUACCCGGUCUCCCAGCCUCACACUCACAGACACAGCCAGCUCUGGCCACACUGUCCCUCCGCAACUCCUCCACUCCUCCCAGGACCCACAGAUGCCUUGUCUCGUUCAGGAAGGAAGCACAGCAUGGAAGUGGAUAGGGCUGGAGAACCGGAAAGCCCAGACCUGAGGCUGCAAAGGGGCCCCUGGCCUCCACCACAGUCAGCCGGAUCCCCUUUCCCUUCGUGAGAUGUCCUGGCCAGGGCUGGGAUGGAAGUGUGUUUACUCGGCAAAAUCACCUUUGGGUCAAUCCCUGCCCCCCUUCACGAUGGUCAGAGAUAUAUUUAUAGAAACAUCUGGGGCUUAUUUCUCUUUCACUUGAACUUCCCUGUCUCUUUUAAGCUCCUCCAAAUUUCUGACCAAAAUGAAAUCAUGCGGCAAAUGGGGGAGAGAGACAGGCAAGGUAGAAACAAUAUUUGAGAGUCUCUGUCUUUGAGCAGCCGAGGAAGAACUAUUGGAACAAGGACAAAAGGGGCUUCUGAGACAAGCUUGGGUGACAGGAAGCGGUUGGGGUGGCCCUCUCCCUCCCAAUUUCCCUCCACCAAGAGUCGAACAGCAAAAUACCAGGACAAGUUGCAAGACAAUCUUCCUUCCUCCCCCUGCCCCUGACAGAUGUCAGAGAGGAGAGCUG